UGGGGAAUAUUGGACAAUGGGCGAAAGCCUGAUCCAGCCAUGCCGCGUGUGUGAAGAAGGUCUUCGGAUUGUAAAGCACUUUAAGUUGGGAGGAAGGGCAGUAAGCGAAUACCUUGCUGUUUUGACGUUACCGACAGAAUAAGCACCGGCUAACUCUGUGCCAGCAGCCGCGGUAAUACAGAGGGUGCAAGCGUUAAUCGGAAUUACUGGGCGUAAAGCGCGCGUAGGUGGUUCGUUAAGUUGAAUGUGAAAGCCCCGGGCUCAACCUGGGAACUGCAUCCAAAACUUGCGAGGUAGAGUAGGGCAGAGGGUGGUGGAAUUUCCUGGGUAGCGGUGAAAUGCGUAGGUAUAGGGAGGAACACCAGUGGCGGAGGCGACCACCUGGGCUCAUACUGACACUGAGGUGCGAAAGCGUGGGGGGCAAACAGG
rnacentral:rRNA from 1 species